UUUCCGUAGGUGAACCUGCGAAAGGAUCAUUCAUAAUAAAUUGUUUUAUGCCACUUUUUAAAAAUCCAUAUCCACCUUUUGUGCAAUGUUAGAUCUCGUCAAUCUUGGCGAGAUUUUUAUACAUCAACUCAUUCUUUAACUAAUUUGUCUGAAAAAUAUUAUGAAUACUUGAUUCAAAAUACAACUUUCAACAACGGAUCUCUUGGCUCUC
rnacentral:misc_RNA from 1 species